GGGGAAUUUUCCGCAAUGGGGGCAACCCUGACGGAGCAAUACCGCGUGGGGGAGGAAGGCCCUUGGGUUGUAAACCCCUUUUCUCAGGGAAGAAUAACUGACGGUACCUGAGGNNUCAGCCUCGGCUAACUCCGUGCCAGCAGCCGCGGUAAGACGGAGGAGGCAAGCGUUAUCCGGAAUCAUUGGGCGUAAAGCGUCCGUAGGUGGUCCUUCAAGUCUGCUGUCAAAGCCCAGGGCUCAACCCUGGAGAGGCAGUGGAAACUGAAGGACUUAGAGUGCGGUAGGGGUAGAGGGAAUUCCCGGUGUAGCGGUGAAAUGCGUAGAGAUCGGGAAGAACACCAGUGGCGUAAGCGCUCUACUGGACCGCAACUGACACUGAGGGACGAAAGCUAGGGGAGCGAAUGGGAUUAGAUACCCCAGUAGUC
rnacentral:rRNA from 1 species